rnacentral:lncRNA from 1 species
CCCCAACCCAGUAUGUGCAGAUGGGAUGGUGGGAUCUAGGUAGACCCAUGAUGAGAACAGAGGGGACAACAUGGAGUCUUGUUGGAAAGGCAGACUUUGUGAUAGCUCUUGCUUGAUUUUAUAUCUUGGUGGACCAUCAGAUUCUGAUUUUAAUGCAAAUACAUUCCAUUCCUUUAAAUAUAUACACUCUCUUCCAUAUGUAUUAUAAAUAAAAAAGAACUUAUUUAGAAUAGCUCUGGGCUCACUCAUGUUUUUGUAUAUUACUGUAUCCUUUUGGAGCUGUUCUCCAAACUCUAGAGGCACCAUUCAGACAGAAGAAAUCAAUUUCAGACACGAUGGGAUAACAGUUUUCAACUCACUGGGCUGCAAGUUUGCAGGUCUCUGGAAAAAUUGUAGAGAAAUUAUCAGUCCUUCACCUGACUUUAAAGGACCCUUCAGUUUGUAGAAGGGGCUCAGAAAAAGAGCUGAUGCAGGUCUUGGCACUGUGCCAGUCAUAGAUGAAGUUGCUCAUCCAUGUCACACUGCCCAACAUGCGUCCGUGGGCCAGAUGCAUGAUGCCCUGCAGAGUAUCGUAAUACUGAGUUGUUAAUUUCAUAGUCUACUAUAGCAUCAAAGAAU